UAUCCAAAAAAAAAUAAAGGGAAACGAUAGCGAUUUUUAUCCAACGCCAUGUGUUUAUCCAGCGCUAUAAUGCUAUUACUCCUCGGGUUUCAUAAUUAGUUCGAUAUGUGUCUAAAAAGUCUUUCUUUCUUGGUGCCAGAUUUGGGAGAUCAAAACGGUCAAUCAAAGCCAUGAAAUAAUACAACGCCCGUUAUUUUACACCACGCUUCGAUGUUCAUACUAACCGGCAACGGCUGAGGGGGGUUCGGAUGGGAUUGUGCGCUACGGCCCGCGAGUUCGGGAUCAUCCUUCGGAAGGGAUACGAAAUCGAUAGGUGGUAAUGGAGUGGGAAGGGCAAAGGGCGGCCUCGAGUCCCGCGGCCAUGCUUGCGGUGCUUAUGAUCAAGAAAGAGAAGCUCCAACAAGAGCUCCGCAACAUCGAGAAGUAGUAAGGUGGAAGUGCUGGAGGUUAGGACCCUGGUCCCUGUCCCCUGGCUGUUGAGUUGUGACUUCAAUGCCAUCUCCAAGCCAUCUGAGCGCAAAGGUCUUGCUGAACCCAGGAAAGAUCCAUUGACUAAAAGGAGAUAAGAAUAUGGCCUCUACUAGAAGAAGGUUCAAUCAUAUCUCGGCGAUAUCUUGGCAUGGAGCUGAUACCUGAGAUCCUUCCCUAAUGACGAACAAUCUAACCAGCUGUUUUAAAGACAUCCUGGGAACACCCUCGCCAGCCUCUAUUGACUUGGAUCCGAACUCUGUUGUUGAUGGACUCUCAGUCAAUCUUGCAGACCUUGAGGAACCCUUCACAGAGGAGGAGAUCAAAAAGGCCACUUUCGGCUUGCCCAACAACAAGGCACCAGGGUCAAAUGGAUUCCCAGUUUUCUUCUUCAAGGUCUUCUGGAACGUCAUCAAACAAGACUCAAUCGAUCUUUUUAAUCAGCUAGCUAUUUUCAAGAGAUGCAGACCUUGGUCGCAUAAGCUGUUCUUAUAUAUAGCACUUGUUCACAAGAGAGAAGCUUCCAAACAUCCAUCUGACUUUAGGCCUCUCAGCUUGUUGGGCAACUCCUUUAAAAUCAUUACAAAGGCUCUUGCCGACAGAUUACAAGCUUUCCUUGCUCGACUCCUUGAUCAAUCCCGAUCUAGAUUCAUAAUAGGCCGAUGCAUUUUGGAAUGUUAAGUGCCUGUGAGGUAAUUCUUUACUGCCACAAUACAAAGAAAGAGGAAUUCUAUGUAAACUAGACUUUGAAAAGGCGUUUGAUUGAGUCCAGUGGAAUUUUCUUCAGUUCAUUACAGAGAAGAGGCUUUGGACCUAAAUGCAAUAGUUGGAUCUCCUCAGUUUUUACUUCAGGAUGGCAGUGCUCCUUAACGGCAAGCAGGGCAACUGGUUCUCUUGCUAAAAUGGGCUAAGGUAGGGGCUCCCAAUCUCUCUUUAUUCAUACUAGUGGAAGAUGUUCUCACAAAAAUUCUCAACCGGGCAACUGCUAAUAAUCUGAUAAGGGGAUUGGGACCUAAUCUUUGCAGUGGUAGACUGCAAAGCCUCCAAUAUGCAGAUGGUGCCAUUCUAUUUCGUGGAGCCAAUGAAUCUCGAUUGAUGGCUUUAAGCAUGCUUCAAGCCUGAAGGUUAGUUUCAGAGUCCAUUGAUCUAUAUGGGACAGCAUAUAAUAAGGGAGUUCACUUUGCUUCGAUUCUUGGAUACAAAGUGCUGGAAGCCUAGGAGUGAUAAACUUAGCUGAGUUCAAUAGAGCUCUCCUCACAAAAUGAGCUUGGAGAUUGUAAUAUGAUAGUUUAAUACCAUGGGUUCAACAAAUCGGUUUGGCCUACUGCAGGAGAUCAAACUUCAAAGGAAGAUAUAGCAGCUUUUACAAGUUGGAGGAACAUGUGUAAAUGCUUAAAUGAUUUCUGGAUGAGCAUUAAGUUUCUGCGUGGAAAUGGAUCUGAGAUAUUCUUUUGGAAAGACACCUGGUUGGGAGAACAUGCUCUAUCUAUGCUUUUUGCCAGUCUCUUUUCUUUCUCCAUAAACAAAGAAGCAAUGGUCUCAGAUUAUUGGAAUCCAUGGAUGUCUGCUGGACUCUAAUAAAGCUUUAACCUUCCUAUGACUCCAUGAGCUAUAGAUGAGGUUCAAAGCCUAGCUGAGUUACUGGAGUUUAUUAGGCAUCAAACUCAAGGGAUGUAUUUCGUUGGAAAUGUACUGCUAACAAAGUCUGCUCGGUAAAACCCUUCUGCCAGCUUAUAAAUCAUGGUGGAAUUAUUUGUUCAAUUGCGCUAGCCCUUUGGAAAGCUCAGUGCAGAGUGUCAAAUUUUGUGGAGGUCAUUAGUAAGAAAGGACAGCAUGCUUUUUUUAAUUGUCCUUCAUGCAAAGCAAAUUCAGAAGAAAUUUGAACCCCUUCAACUACACUACCGUUUUGCUUCGAGGUCUUGAAGAAGUGUUAACAUGGCUGUGGGGAUGCAUCGGCAGCACAGAAUAGCUCCCAGAUCUCUUCAGACAGAUUGGAGGAGGACGCCACAUCUCAAAAAUUUUAUUAAUGCUUGGGGAUUCCUUCGUUCUUCUCUUGGAGAUUAUGGAUGGAAAGGAAAGGAAGAGUUUUUUUGUCAACAAGGAGCAUACAUUGGAGGCCACACUUCAGAAGGCUAUCAGACUUUUAUGCAUUGGAACGCUUUGUUCCCUGUGAAGCUUCAACCAGGAUGCAACAAGCUCCUCACAGGUCUUCAACCUCUGCUUCUGAAUGAUAAUAACCUAUAUACCUAGUACUUAACGCUUGUAUGUUCCCCAUUUUGGGGGGGCCUUUUUUCUCGCUCUGGCUUCAAGAGAAACUCCUUGUAAUGCCUUCAUUUCCUUGAUGAAAGAAUGGUGGACCGUAGAUAACUCCUUAUUGAAUGAUGGACCUUAUUGACUUUUUUCA